AGAGGUGGGAGGAGCUCGCAGCACCGCCGGGCGCCCGUCGGGCUCUGGGCGAGAGAGAGAAAUCCGGUUAAAAUCAGAGUCGGAGGGAGGUUUAACCACAGAUCGGUUCCGAUCGGAUUAUUCCUUAAAGGGGACGCGCCAUUGUCAAGAGAACGGAGCCUUGGGCUCGAGGGCGGGGACCGGCGGCGCCUGAGGAUCGAGGCAGCUGCACUUGGACUGGGGACGGAGCUGAAGCCAUUUAUUGAAUCUUGGAUGAUUAACACCUAAAUGCUUAAUUCUCAAAACUGCUCAAGAGUCCCACAGCCAGGAUUAGAUGAUCCAAUUUACCACCAAGGAAUUUCUGUCUUGAAUUCUACGGUAAGAUUAUGAUAUGUAUUCUAAAGGCUAAAUAGUGACUGUGAGGUCUAAAAAGAUUUGUAAAUGCUGUCUUUGAGGGACUACCUUCGAUUAUAAUUUCUUAAUCCUGUAACUGUUAGACCAGGAAUUCAAGACUGUGAUGGUCAACCAAAGAUCUUAGAAAUAUCAACAUGCAAACAAGGCUUUCUGGCAUUUCCUCCUUAUAGAUUGAGCCUAGCAAUGGAUAGUGGAGUGCCAAGCUUUGCCCCUUGCUGUAUAUCUCAGAGUGAGUCCUCCGAAAGAGUUGGGCUGCUAGAAUGUCUAUUAGGAAGCAACACCUACAAAGAGAGAAGAGAUUAUUGGGUAGAGGAAACUGAAGUGUAAGGCAGGCUCAACCACAGCAGGGAGUCUUGAAUUGCAAGAGUUUUUUCUCCUUCAUAAAAGUAAGCUUCUUGUUGGAAGCAUAUCCUUGCCUUUGUGCGCAGGUCAUUAAAGAAGUUGCUUGGCAAAUAUUUGUUGGAUGAAGGAAAUCUGAGAAAGAUCUUGUGGUGUCUCUCAUAACACCUUAUCCUUACCGUCCUUUCCCCAGUUAAAAGUGCAGUUUACAACAAUGAGGUUAACAGUGACACAGGUGGUUGUCUUGUAUCUCAGGAGCAAACACAAAGGUAACUAACUUGCCCUUCAUUAUCAGCAUGUGUUGCAUACCACUCACUGUGCUCCUGGGCGCCAGAGAUAAGGAAGACCUGCAAAGGGACCUGAGGAAAACCACACACAUAAGAACAUGAGACCAUAUCCAUAAAGAGGAAACAAACAAAAAAACCAACACAGAACUAGAGGGUAUUAUUGCUAAGUGAAAUAAGUCAGACAAAGAAAAAA
rnacentral:lncRNA from 1 species